GUAUACCUGCGAGUGAGUCCACUGAUUUGUUAUCCGGGACCGGGGUUUGGAAGCUCAGGCGAUCUUCGGCUGAGUUCUGGAGAUCUACCCCCGAAGCUUCCCCAGACUCCAGGACAACUAUCUGGAGACAAACACCACCAAAAAGCAAACAUUCCACAAGUCGGGCAGACGGUCGGCAGCUGAGCGAACACCUUGAAAACUGGGCUCGCGCUUACGCAGCUGCUCCUUUCCUCAUUCGCCACAAAGCGACUGGAUUUUUUGCAGGAGGAAUACGCAUGACGUGGGCUUUCGACGGAUUCCGACGAGUUGACUCACCUCCUCUGUGGAAUGUUCAUAAGGAUCAUCCAGGUGAUGAUGAUGCUGCUGCUCUUGGUGAUGGUGGUUUCGUUCCUGCUCCAGUGUCUCACUGAUGAGGCGGGCCACCUCGCUCUGGGUCCCCGGCUUUUCCCGACCAAUCAGAAACCUGUUUGCCAUGAGGUGGGAAUAUCGUGAAGAUGCCUUUCACGUGAGCCGAUCGCACGUCAUUGUUUUGUUCCACACGGAAUCGGCAGAUUUGGAACAUGGGCCGGACGAAGGCCUCGGGGGCUCGGGGGGGAGGGGGCGGCUAACCUCACGGUGCCUUUGGUGUUCUUGAGAACAGUUGCUGCAAAGAGUUGGGUGACACCCACCAGACUGACGCCAUCCACCUCCACGAUCUGGUCAUUCACCUGAAUGCUAAAACACAAAAGGCGGGGAAUGAAAAAUGCGGCGGCCCGGUAGUCCAGAACCGGCGCUCCAACAAUUAUGAGCCCGCACAGUACGAAAAGGCCCAGGAAACGCAGGAAGUGAGAUUGUUUUUGUUUGCUUCCUUGAGAGGCUAUAAAUAGAAGUGGUUAUUUGUGUUUUAUGGGUCUCGAGGCCCCUACUAAAAGUACUAAGGGGUGAGCUGUGAGGUCAUUCAAGCAUGAUGCUGGAGACGCAACGUGAACAUUUUGACCCACCG